CGCUCUCUCCCCUUUCCUCUUCUGUCACCCCCCUCCCCAUCCCUCUUCUCUAACUAAUUAACCCUCUAACUAACUAACUAUUCCACUUACUAACUAACUCACUAACUAAUUAUCUACCAAUACUCAGCAACCAGUUUAUAUACUUUCUAUCUUUUAAGAUUUAAAUACUUUUCCUUUAUUUUUUUUCAACCUUUUGCGUUCCCCCUUCACACUUUGUAGAAAAAUUCCUCUCCCCUCCAUCCACGGAAAAAAUGAAGAAAAAAACAAGGGAUGGCAUUUUUUACGUUCUUUUUAACUCUUUCCUUUAUUUUCUUCUGGCGAUGUUUGUUGUAUAAUUCAAUCCACCCUAGACAGUUUUGUUGAUCGUUCUGUCCUCCUGGGGGCGUGUUCUUAAUUAAAACACCCCAGCGCCCAAGCAUACAUAUUUGACAAGGCUUUCGUAUUUGGCGUUUUGGGCAUUUCCAGGGGAUGUUUAAUGGCCCUUCUGUAGUACCAUGCACAUUAAAAAAAAACUCAUUCUGGCCAUUUUCAGGGGAAGUUAAAUGACCCUUCUUCUGUACCAUGAACGUAAAAAAAACCUCUCAUUUUGGCCAUUUUCAGGGGAAGUUAAAUGGCCCUGGUGGUAGUUUGACCCUUUCUCUGCGCCAUGAACGUGAAAACAAUCCUCAUUCUGGCCAUUUUCAGGGGAAGUUCAAUGACCCUGAUGGUAGCUUGACCCUUCUUAUGUACCAUGAACGUGAAAAAAAACUUAUUUAGGCCAUUUUCAGGGGAAGUUCAAUGACCCUGAUGGUAGCUUGACCCUUCUCCUGCACCAUGAACGAGA